rnacentral:rRNA from 1 species
CUCAAAACAGCUUAUAGAGCUAACCCGUCUCUGUCGCAAAAGAGUGGGAUGAUUUUCAGGUAGAGGUGAAAAGCCUACCGAGCUUAGAGAUAGCUGGUUAUUCAGGAAAAGAAUUUUAGUUCAACCUUAAGCCUUCCCCCUUAACCUAACAAACCCGCUCGGCUUAAGAGCUACUCAAAUAAGGCACAGCUUAUCUGACAAAGGAGACAACCUAUAAAAAAGGGCAAAUUUCUAAAGCUAAGUAAGUAGGCCCGAAAGCAGCCAUCUUUAAGAAAGCGUUAAAGCUCCUUUUCUUCCCCCAUACAAAUUCCUAUCCAUUUACUUAACCCUUUAAUACUACUGAAUGACUCUAUAGAUUUAUAGAAAACCUAAUGCUAAAACUAGUAACAAGAAAUUGAACUUCUCUAAAAUACAAAUAUAAAUCAAAAUGGACAAACCAUUGAUAGUUAACACCACUGACUUACAUGUAGAAACAUAACAAGAAAAAUCUACAAACUACAAUGUUAGCCUUACACAAGCGUAUUUCUGGAAAGAUUAAAAAAAAGGGAAGGAACUCGGCAAAUAAUUAACCUCGCCUGUUUACCAAAAACAUCGCCUCUUGACUCUAUAAGAGGUCCAGCCUGCCCAGUGACAUAAUUAAACGGCCGCGGUACCCUGACCGUGCGAAGGUAGCAUAAUCACUUGCCCUCUAAAUAAGGGCUUGUAUCAACGGCAUCACGAGGGUUAUACUGUCUCCCCUCUUUAAUCAGUGAAACUGACUUUCCCGUGAAGAGGCGGGAAUGAAGACACAAGACGAGAAGACCCCAUGGAGCUUAAAACCCAAUAAUAACUUCUACUUACUAUAACUACUUAAUUAAGAAACCCUAUCUAUUGGUUUUAGGUUGGGGUGACCCCGGAGUAAAACCAAACCUCCACGACGAAUAGAUUCUAUCCUUAAUCCAAGAGCAACUGCUCUACGAAUCAAUACUUUGACGUAACCUGAUCCGCUUAGCGAUCAACGAACCAAGUUACCCUGGGGAUAACAGCGCAAUCCAUUUCAAGAGCUCCUAUCGACAAAUGGGUUUACGACCUCGAUGUUGGAUCAGGGUAUCCUAGUGGCGCAGCCGCUACUAAAGGUUUGUUUGUUCAACAAUUAAAACCCU